rnacentral:rRNA from 1 species
AGCCAGCAGCCGCGGUAAUACGUAGGUGGCAAGCGUUGUCCGGAAUUACUGGGCGUAAAGGGCGUGUAGGCGGCGAUUUAAGUCAGACGUGAAAGCCCAGGGCUUAACCUUGGGACUGCGUUUGAAACUGGAUGGCUAGAGGAUCGGAGAGGGCAGUGGAAUUCCCAGUGUAGCGGUGAAAUGCGUAGAUAUUGGGAGGAACACCAGUGGCGAAGGCGACUGCCUGGACGACACCUGACGCUGAGGCGCGAAAGCUAGGGGAGCAAACGGGAUUAGAUACCCCGGUAGUCCUAGCCGUAAACGAUGGGUACUAGGUGUGGGAGGUAUCGACCCCUUCCGUGCCGGAGCAAACGCAAUAAGUACCCCGCCUGGGGAGUACGGCCGCAAGGUUGAAACUCAAAGGAAUUGACGGGGGCCCGCACAAGU